CCAUGCGUGUGGCCAGGUGUGGCCAGGUGUGGCUAGGUGUGCUCAGGUGUGCCCAGGUGUGCUCAGGUGUGCCCAGGUGGGUGCCAUAGGCAUGCCCAGGUGUGGCCAGGUGCACCCAGGUAUGUGCAGGUGGGUGCUGUAGGUAUGCCCAGAUGUGCCCAGGUGUGUCCAGGUGUGCCCAGGUGCACCCAGCUGUGCCCAGCUGUGCCCAGGUGCACCCAGGUGUGCCCACAUAGGUGCCGUAGGUGCACCCAGGUGUGCCCAGAUGAGCCCAGGUGCACCCAGGUGUGCCCAGGUGCACCCAGGUGUGCCCACAUAGGUGCCGUAGGUGCACCCAGGUGUGCCCAGCUGUGCCCAGGUGUGCUCAGGUGUGCCCACAUAGGUGCCGUAGGUGUGCCCAGGUGUGCCCAGGUGUGUCCAGGUGUGCCCAGAUGGGUGCUGUAGGUGUACCCAGGUGUGCCCAGGUGCACCCAGCUGUGCCCAGGUGUGAUCAGAUGUGCCCAGGUGUGCCCAGGUGUGCCCAGAUGGGUGCCGUAGGUGUGCCCUGGUGUGCCCAGGUGCACCCAGCUGUGUCCAGCUGUGCCCAGGUGUGCCCAGAUGGGUGCUGUAGGUGUACCCAGGUGUGCCCAGGUGUCCCCAGGUGUGCCCAGGUGCACCCAGCUGUGCCCAGCUGUGCCCAGGUGUGCCCAGGUAUGCCCAGCUGUGCCCAGGUGUGCCGGGCACAGCACAGGACAGGGUUGGGGCAGCAGGCUGAGUCUGCAGCAGGGGCGUGUCCCGAGCCGAGCUCACCUGUGCGCAGGUGUGCGGCACCCCCGAGUACAUCGCGCCCGAGGUGAUCCUGCGCCAGGGCUACGGGAAGCCCGUGGACUGGUGGGCCAUGGGCAUCGUCCUCUACGAGUUCCUGGUGGGCUGCGUCCCCUUCUUCGGGGACACCCCCGAGGAGCUCUUCGGACAGGUGAUCUCAGACGAGAUCCUGUGGCCGGAGGGGGACGAGGCUCUGCCCCCGGACGCGCAGCACCUCAUCUCCUGCCUCCUGCAGCCGGACCCUCUGCGGCGCCUCGGGGCAGG
rnacentral:lncRNA from 1 species